AUCGAGGCUAGAGUCACACUUGGGUAUCAGCCUUAGUGUCCUAGAGUCCUCGAAGAGUAACUGCUGACCUUCCUCAGUGGCUGUGGCCCUCAUGGCAUAGUCAGUCACUAGGUUAGUGACAUGC